GACGAACGCUGGCGGCGUGCUUAACACAUGCCAGUCGAACGGAAAGGCCCUGCUUUUGUGGGGUGCUCGAGUGGCGAACGGGUGAGUAACACGUGAGUAACCUGCCCUUGACUUUGGGAUAACUUCAGGGAACUGGGGCUAAUACCGGAUAGGAGCUCCUGCUGCAUGGUGGGGGUUGGAAAGUUUCGGCGGUUGGGGAUGGACUCGCGGCUUAUCAGCUUGUUGGUGGGGUAGUGGCUUACCAAGGCUUUGACGGGUAGCCGGCCUGAGAGGGUGACCGGCCACAUUGGGACUGAGGUACGGCCCAGGCUCCUACGGGAGGCAGCAGGGGGGAAUAUUGCACAAUGGGCGGAAGGCUGAUGCAGCAACGCCGCGUGCGGGAUGACGGCCUUCGGGGUGUAAACCGCUUUCGCCUGUGACGAAGCGUGAGUGACGGGAAUGGGUAAAGAAGCACCGGCUAACUACGUG
rnacentral:rRNA from 1 species